UACGUAGGGUGCGAGCGUUGUCCGGAAUUAUUGGGCGUAAAGAGCUCGUAGGCGGUGUGUCACGUCGGCCGUGAAAACCUGCAGCUUAACUGUGGGCGUGCGGUCGAUACGGGCAUCACUGGAGUUCGGCAGGGGAGACUGGAAUUCCUGGUGUAGCGGUGAAAUGCGCAGAUAUCGGGAGGAACACCAGUGGCGAAGGCGGCGAUCUGGGUCGAUACUGACGCUGAGGUGCGAAAGCGUGGGGAGCAAACAGG
rnacentral:rRNA from 1 species